rnacentral:rRNA from 1 species
AGAGUUUGAUCCUGGCUCAGGACUAACGCUGGCGGCGUGCCUAACACAUGCAAGUCGAACGGGAGUAGCAAUACUUCAGUGGCAGACGGGUGAGUAACACGUGGUCAACCUACCUUUAAGUGGGGGAUAACUAGUCGAAAGAUUAGCUAAUACCGCAUGUGGAGGCGGUCGGCAUCGACCGUUUUCCAAAGGAGCAAUCC